UCGGUCCCUAUCUGCCGUGGGUGUAGGAAUAUUGAGAGGAUUUGCCCCUAGUACGAGAGGACCGGGGUGAACGUACCUCUGGUGGAGCUGUUGUCGCGCCAGCGGCAGUGCAGCAUAGCUAUGUACGGACGGGAUAACCGCUGAAGGCAUCUAAGCGGGAAACCCACCUCAAAACGAGUAUUCCCUUGAGAACCGUGGAAGACGACCACGUUGAUAGGCCGGGUGUGGAAGCGCAGUAAUGCGUGUAGCUUACCGGUACUAAUCGUUCGAUUGGCUUGAUUGCUCUCAUUUU
rnacentral:rRNA from 1 species